rnacentral:rRNA from 1 species
GACGAACGCUGGCGGCGUGCUUAACACAUGCAAGUCGAACGGAAAGGCCCUGCUUGCAGGGUGCUCGAGUGGCGAACGGGUGAGUAACACGUGGGUGAUCUGCCCCUUACUUUGGGAUAAGCCUGGGAAACUGGGUCUAAUACUGGAUAGGACCAUGCUGUAGGUGGUGUGGUGGAAAGAUUAGUUUCGGUAAGGGAUGAGCUCGCGGCCUAUCAGCUUGUUGGUGGGAUAAUGGCCUACCAAGGCGUCGACGGGUAGCCGGCCUGAGAGGGUGGACGGCCACAUUGGGACUGAGAUACGGCCCAGACUCCUACGGGAGGCAGCAGUGGGGAAUAUUGCACAAUGGGCGCAAGCCUGAUGCAGCGACGCCGCGUGGGGGAUGACGGCCUUCGGGUUGUAAACUCCUUUCAGCCAUGACGAAGCCCUUGUGGUGACGGUAGUGGUAGAAGAAGCACCGGCUAACUACGUG